rnacentral:rRNA from 1 species
UAGGGAAUCUUCCGCAAUGGGCGAAAGCCUGACGGAGCAACGCCGCGUGAGUGAUGAAGGUCUUCGGAUCGUAAAACUCUGUUAUUAGGGAAGAACAAAUGUGUAAGUAACUAUGCACGUCUUGACGGUACCUAAUCAGAAAGCCACGGCUAACUACGUGCCAGCAGCCGCGGUAAUACGUAGGUGGCAAGCGUUAUCCGGAAUUAUUGGGCGUAAAGCGCGCGUAGGCGGUUUUUUAAGUCUGAUGUGAAAGCCCACGGCUCAACCGUGGAGGGUCAUUGGAAACUGGAAAACUUGAGUGCAGAAGAGGAAAGUGGAAUUCCAUGUGUAGCGGUGAAAUGCACAGAGAUAUGGAGGAACACCAGUGGCGAAGGCGACUUUCUGGUCUGUAACUGACGCUGAUGUGCGAAAGCGUGGGGAUCAAACAGG